rnacentral:misc_RNA from 1 species
CAGCUAGAAGAUGCUGACACGCAGAAUAGGCUGCAAAAAUGAAGUGGUUGGAACUCUGAACAAAUUUGAUUCGUCUGGAAUUUAUUGGUGAUUCGAUUGUUGAUUAAAUUAUGCAAUCUCUUCGUAAACUGCACAAAUCAGCUAACGUGAUUGUUUUGUACUUGUCAUUGGUUGCUAAUUCUUGAUAAUGAAAUUUUGUUUGUAA